GAUGAACGCUGGCGGCGCGCCUAACACAUGCAAGUCGAACGAUUAAAGCACCUUCGGGUGUGUAUAAAGUGGCGAACGGCUGAGUAACACGUGGGCAACCUGCCCCUUUCAUUGGGAUAGCCACGGGAAACCGUGGAUAAUACCGAAUACUUCGAGACUUCCGCAUGGAAGACUCGAGAAAGCUCCGGCGGAGAGGGAUGGGCCCGCGGCCUGUUAGCUUGUUGGUGGGGUAACGGCCUACCAAGGCAAUGAUGGGUAGCUGGGUUGAGAGACCGACCAGCCAGAUUGGGACUGAGACACGGCCCAGACUCCUACGGGAGGCAGCAGUGGGGAAUCUUGCACAAUGGACGAAAGCCUGAUGCAGCGACGCCGCGUGCGGGAUGAAGGCCUUCGGGUUGUAAACCGCUUUCAGCAGGGACGAGGCGAAAGUGACGGUACCUGCAGAAGAAGCCCCGGCUAACUACGUG
rnacentral:rRNA from 1 species